AAGCCUAAUAAUUAAUCGUCCCACUUCUAUUUUCUUUAUAUUAUUUUAUCUAUGUAAUUGCAUGUGAGAGUUAUUAAUUUAUUAAUUUAUCAAAAUAUAAAAAAUAUUUUAUCUCUUUUCAUGGCAAUGAAGUUAGAAAAAUUAAGAUGUUAAUUAAUAAAGAAAAAGAAUUAUAUAUAUACAUAUAUAUUAAUAUAUGUAUACCUUCAAAUCCUUUCAAUGCUCUAGCAACUUUUCUUGCACA
rnacentral:misc_RNA from 1 species